CGGCGUAAGGGUGCUCCCCGACCACCACGAUGGCAUAGGCGAAGUCGUUGCUGCUGAUGAAUUCGGAAUUAGGGUUUUCGGAGAAGACCACUUCGGUUGAAGGAUCUACUGUGGAUCGUAUCGCCUCCAGGAUUGUGGUGCCUAAUGCGCAAACCAGCUGUGAUUCUUCCGCUUCUGCCGUACCACUCGAUGGUCCAUCCGCCGCAUUGGUAUCCCAAAUUAUGGGCGUGGCUGCCUGCAACGAGAACCUUCCCUGCGUUCUUCGGAAGGGGAAGCAGCGGAGCAUCCCCGGAGUUCCCGUUCUUCAGUAGCACGAGAGAUUUCCUCACAGCUUCCCUCGCCAAUUCCCUGUGCUCCUGGUUAUGUUGAGCAAAUUAUACUUGUUCACCUUUUUUCCGAGAUGAUUGGCUACGCUGUGAUCAACCAUGGGUUUCUCAAACAAACCGAGGAUAAAUUUCACCCUCAGAAUUCUCCUCACAGCAUCAUCGAUUCUGCUCAUGGAGAUGAAGUUGUUCUUAACAAGAAACGUGAGGUUGCCAACGAACUCAACAUACUUUUUUGGAACCAUCACCUGCAAAAUGAUGCAGGAAGAAGCUAAGGAAGCUUCAACGGAGUAUGUAUAAUUUGCACCUGGUGGGGUGGUGAUCCUGUCAAGUCCCUCCCAGUCUGAGAUCACAAAUCCCUGGCAGAGUUUCAAUCAAGUACCUAUCAAACAUAGCAACAUAGAAGUAAAAAGGGAUCAAAGUUGAUUCUUGAAAGCAUGCCUUGAAGCCAAGCUUGUUCUUGAGGAGGCCCGUGAUGAGCUCGCGGUUGGUGUGCAUUUUGACACCGUUCCAGCUUGAAUAAGAAAUCAUGAUGGUAGAGACGCCCUUGGCAAUGGCGUCGUAGUAGGCUGGCAUAUGGAUGUCGAAGAGGCCAUUGCGGUCGAUGAUGGUGUCAUUUUCAUUGAUUCCAUUUUGUGUGCCACCAUCGCCAACAAAAUGCUUGGCACAGGCCGCCACAUUGUUCCUGUUCCAAAGUUUUAUGUCAAUUGUGUGCUAGAAGACCAUCAAAUUAAUCAGUUGGAUCGAGAAAACUCACUUUCCAGCAACAUAGGGGAAGCCCUUGGUGUAGUUUUGAGGUGCAUCUCCUUGUAAACCAAGAAUGAUGUCAGUCAUGUUCUGGACGAUCCGGUGAUCUUCGCUGUAGCUCUCGAAACACCGACCCCAUCUCGGGUCUCUGCAAACCUGAUUAUUGGACCAAAUCAGCAAUUAGUGUUGAGGAACAGAGGCAGAGGUGCAAAAGUGACAUGGUUUAUGGUUUAUAUUUGGAAACUCUACCGCAAUGCACGGCGCAAAGGCAUAGGGAAUGCCAGUGGCUCUAACCUCCAGUGCAGUUGCUGCACCAAUCCUCUUCGCAAGACCAGGAUCCCUGCAGAUUGCAAGGAAAUCAAAAUUUGAUAUGAUUGUUUAGAAAAAACAUGGCCAAAAUUUAAAUGGGCUUCCAUCAUUUAUAUUUUUAUUAGAUGGAUAUCUUAUUUUUGAUUAAAGUCCAGUACCCCUCUCCUUUUUAAA